rnacentral:rRNA from 1 species
UACACACCGCCCGUCACGUCAUGAAAGUUGGAGACGCCUGAAGUCGGUUCGGUAACCUUUAUGGAGCCAGCCGCCGAGGGUGGUGCCAGCGAUUGGGACG